CAAACAUGAAUCAAUCCCCAUCUUAUCUUUUGCAGCAUGAACCUAACGUGUGCACAUGACCCAGGUAUGUCAUCUAAAGCUUGGCACAGAACACACAGAUAUAACAUGGAGCGCUGCUGGUUUUCUACAUGAGAAAUUGUGAUAAUUAGGACCAUCACGUUUCAAAAGGUGAUCUUCAGACAGUCAAACCUAUGACAGUAUGUAUAGUUUAGUGAAGAUCAUGGUACAAAGGACACGCAAUCGAUGACAGGCUAUUCAUGACAAAUUUGUAGAUCUAGAGAAAGCAAGUCAAUGAUAUGGCAAAUUUCUCUCUUGAAAAUCAAUAAUAUCUUCCCUAAAAAAUCAAUGAUAUCGUUGCUUAUGAACAACAUCCUUCUAACAAUAUUAUUACUAUUGGGGAAAUGUGUUUAAAACCUGUCAAACGCAACCAAUUCUGGUAAAUAGCAUCGCCUCGUUCUCCGCCAUCCUCCUGGCGAACAACUUCUCUUUGCUAGCCGCCCAUGCCUCCAGCUCCUGCUUCGUGUACAUGUCCUGAGUCGACUUGGACCUCGUGGGCUGCCUCCCCGACUCCCCUCCAGCACCAGCAAACGACCCAUCCGACUGGUUCCUCCUCAUAUCCGGCCAGAAAUCGUCGUCCCAGACUCCCAGUCAUCCCGUCCACCGUCGCCGCCGCCAUUUCCCCCUCGGCCUCCCCAGGCGGGCAAGGGCGGCUUCCUCGCAGGUGCAGGAGCGCCAGAUCCAGGAGUCUCCUUAACGACGGGCGGGUCGUUCCACGGGCGGCCCUCGGCGAGGACGACGAUGCGGUCGCGGUAGGCAGCGGCGGCGUUGGAGUUGUACUUGGGGACGUGGGGCGUAUCGCGCGGCGAGGAAGGCGUUGAGGCGAUCGUUGCCCCCGGCCUCCAUCCUGGGGAGCUGCGCCUCGGUCCACGAGUCCAUGGUGACGGAGCGGACGAAGCCUCCACUCCGCGGCCCUCCUCUGCCGCGCCGGCCCGCCUCGCCUGCUUGCACCUGCGAUCCGCGCGACGAGGCACCACCAUCUCCCUCGCCUCGCCACCGUCGGACACGCAACCUCCGUCGGGGGAGCUGCUGCCUCCCGCGCCCGCCGCCCGCCAUGCUUCCCCGUCGGCGGCGCCGCUGCUUCCCGCGCUCGCCGCAACCGCCGCCCCGCACCACUCCUCCAGCGGCCGCCACCAACUUCUACAGGCGCGGCCACCGAUUCGUCCAGCCCUGCCGCCGGCUGACCCCUCCGUCCCAGACCCCGCCAGCAGACCCCUCCCUCUCCGCCGCCGGCUCACAAUUGCCCGGACGCCGAGUCCUCUCGCCCCGCCGCCGCCCCAUUUCUCCGCCGCCCCCACUUUCCACCCGACUCACAGGUCUCCCAUGGCGUCGCUUCCAAGUGCCGGUCCCUCCAUAGCAGGGCCCUUAUCUGAAUCUGUGUAGGAGGAGGGAUUUGAGGGCAUUCCUCGGUGUGGUUGGUGCAAAUAAUCUCAUAUUAGUUCUCUACUUCCCUUGCAGCAUUCUUGUUCCUUUUUUUUCCCAGGAUUGAUGUUUCUUGUUAAUGAUUUAGCUUCUGUUAAUUAGCAGCAAGUGGCAACUGAGGUGAUAUCUCACUCUUCUCCCUGCAACAAAAUCUGAGACUGGAGUGGUUUCUCACAUGUUGAGUAGAUUUGUUAGGUGUGAUGUGAUAACAUCAUGUGUUAAAAAAUCCGAGGAAAAAAGUACGCAAGUUUAUUAGUCCGAGACUAGAGUGGUUUCUAGAGUGCAAUUGUAGUUUGAGCAGAGCGUAAUUCAAGGUUUGGGUUCAGGAUAUGCAACUUUUUCAUGGAAUUUUCGCUAUAAACCUUAACCAUGUAUCCUUAAUUGGUUCAGAUUUGAUGAUUUUAAAUAUUUUCUAUGUUCGAAUGA